rnacentral:misc_RNA from 1 species
GAUGAAGAACGCAGCGAAAUGCGAUAAGUAAUGUGAAUUGCAGAAUUCAGUGAAUCAUCGAAUCUUUGAACGCACCUUGCGCCUUUUGGUAUUCCGAAAGGCACACCUGUUUGAGCGUCAUGAAUACCUCAAUCUCCAUCUUUUCUUCGGAUUGAUGGGUGACUUGGAUGUUGAGCCCUGCUGGUAUGCUAUAUCAGCUGGCUUUAAACUUAUUAGCCGGCUCUGUACUGGAUCGGUUUGACUCGACGUGAUAAUAUUAUCGUUGAGGAUGCAUGUCUCAUGCAGCCGGAAAGUAUCAAAGCAGCUUCUAGCUUGCCUUUAGUGCACUUUUACAUUUUAGACCUCAGAUCGGGUGGGACUACCCGCUGAACUUAAGCAUAUCAAUAAGCGGAGGA